rnacentral:rRNA from 1 species
GAUGAACGCUAGCGGGAGGCCUAACACAUGCAAGCCGAGCGGUAUUGUUUCUUCGGCAAUGAGAGAGCGGCGUACGGGUGCGUAACACGUGUGCAACCUGCCUUUAUCUGGGGGAUAGCCUUUCGAAAGGAAGAUUAAUACUCCAUAAUAUAUUGAACGGCAUCGUUUAAUAUUGAAAGCUCCGGCGGGUAGAGAUGGGCACGCGCAAGAUUAGCUAGUUGGUGAGGUAACGGCUCACCAAGGCGAUGAUCUUUAGGGGGCCUGAGAGGGUGAUCCCCCACACUGGUACUGGGACACGGACCAGACUCCUACGGGAGGCAGCAGUGAGGAAUAUUGGUCAAUGGGUGCAAGCCUGAACCAGCCAUCCCGCGUGAAGGACGACUGCCCUAUGGGUUGUAAACUUCUUUUGUAUAGGGAUAAACCUACCCUCGUGAGGGUAGCUGAAGGUACUAUACGAAUAAGCACCGGCUAACUCCGUG